rnacentral:rRNA from 1 species
AUUCAAAUCCUUUAACGAGGAUCUAGCGGAGGGCAAGUCUGGUGCCAGCAGCCGCGGUAAUUCCAGCUCCGCAGGUGUAUAUCUAUGCUGCUGCGGUUAAAAAGCUCGUAGUUGGAUCUGCGUGCUCGGAACUGGUUGGCUCACUGAGUUCAAACUGGUCUCCGGCGCUUUAUUGGCUGGUUUUCCCUUGAUGCUCUUAACCGGGUGUCUUGGGUGGCUAGCACGUUUACUUUGAAAAAAUUAGAGUGCUCAAUACAGGCGUAAAGCCUUGAAUAGUGGUGCAUGGAAUAAUAGAAUAGGACCUCGGCUCUAUUUUGUUGGUUUUCGGAACGCGAGGUAAUGAUUAAGAGGGACAGACGGGGGCAUUCGUAUUGCGACGUUAGAGGUGAAAUUCUUGGAUCGUCGCAAGACGGACGACUGCGAAAGCAUUUGCCAAGAAUGUUUUCAUUAAUCAAGAACGAAAGUUAGAGGUUCGAAGGCGAUCAGAUACCGCCCUAGUUCUAACCGUAAACGAUGCCAACUAGCGAUUCGCAGGCGUUAAACAACGACCUUGCGGGCAGCUUCCCGGAAACGAAAGUGUUCGGGUUCCGGGGGAAGUAUGGUUGCAAAGCUGAAACUUAAAGGAAUUGACGGAAGGGCACCACCAGGAGUGGAGCCUGCGGCUUAAUUUGACCCAACACGGGAAAACUCACCCGGCCCGGACACCGUAAGGAUUGACAGAUUGAGAGCUCUUUCUUGAUUCGGUGGGUGGUGGUGCAUGGCCGUUCUUAGUUGGUGGAGCGAUUUGUCUGGUUUAUUCCGAUAACGAACGAGACUCUGGCCUACUAAAUAGUGGGCGGAUUCUUUCUGUCCGCAACACUUCUUAGAGGGACAAGCGGUGUUCAGCCGCACGAGAUUGAGCAAUAACAGGUCCGUGAUGCCCUUAGAUGUCCGGGGCUGCACGCGCGCUACACUGAAGGAAUCAGCGUGCUUUCUGACCUUGCCCGAAAGGGCUGGGUAACCCGAUGAAAAUCCUUCGUGAUUGGGAUAGGGACUUGCAAUUAUUUCCCUUGAACGAGGAAUUCCCAGUAAGUGUGGGUCAUAAGCUCGCGUUGAUUACGUCCCUGCCCUUUGUACACACCGCCCGUCGCUGCCCGGAACUGAGCCGUUUCGAGAAGAACAGGGACCGUCGUUGAAGGGCCUUAACGGGCUUUUCUCUGAUAGAAACUGUUUCA